GAUCCCGUUGUUUUGGUCUCCGUCGGCGGUCUCCGUCCGUUCGAGGUCAGAACCUGGAUGAGGUGCCGCCAUUUCAUCCAUCUUGCGUCAAUUCUGUGCCUCACAGUACUGUUACAGACUCCCCGUUACGAUCCAGUUCACCGUCGCUUUGGAUAGCAGACCGGAGUAUCGGAAGUCUUGACAUACUGGCAAAAGUGCUCCAUCGAUAGCAAUGGGCGUAGAAUGUGAAAUUUUGAUAUCAGGAUAUAAAAAAAAAAAAACCCAAUAUUAAAA